AUUUGCAGUAGCUACAGCAGAUUGGAACGGUUGAAGAUGACAGGGUUUAAUAUGACAAAUACUGUUUAUCCUCUAAACUCAACUAACGCAACAAAUUCAACAACACCGAUGGUAAUGUUACGGGAGACUUGGGUACGAGCCGUAUUAAUAACGCUAUAUGCUUUUGUCUUUAUACUUGGUUUGUCGGGCAAUAUUCUAGUGGUUUUUGUCGUUGUUCGUAACAGAACAAUGCAAACAAUUACCAAUAUUUUUAUCAGCAAUCUAGCAGUCAGCGACAUUAUGAUGUGUUUACUUGCUGUACCAUUUACCCCAAUUUCCGCUUUGCUGGACGGCUGGGUAUUUGGUCAAGCUCUUUGCCAUCUUAUUCCAAUGGCUUUAGGAGUCUCUGUCUACGUAUCAACUUUAACUUCAACGGCUAUAGCUAUUGAUAGAUAUUUUGUAAUAGUUCAUCCAUUCAAACCGCGUAUGAGGAAGGGUGUUUGCCUUUUGUUAAUUGUAGCCAUUUGGAUAAUAUCAAUAUCUAUAUCAUUGCCAUUAGCUAUUUAUCAAACAUUAGAGUGGGAUUCAGAUAAUGAUGCACCAUCUUGUUUCGAAUCAUGGCCAAAACAAAAUGCGAGACAAUUUUUUACAGUAACAAGUCUCGUUUUACAAUAUAUUGUACCGUGUUCAGUUAUAACGUACUGCUACGUGAAUGUAAGUACGGUGUUGAGAGUAAGAGCUCAAGCAAGAUCACAACAUCGAAGAUGCAGAGACAGGGACGAAAUAGAAAUAAAGAGGAAGAGGAGAACGAAUAGAAUGUUGAUUGCUAUGGUUUGCAUAUUUGUAGUGUGUUGGUUACCGUUAAAUAUUGUUCUCAUCUUUACCGAAUAUAAAAGAACUCUUGAUAAUUGGGAGUACUAUGAGCAUCUUUUCUUAUCGGCUCAUGUCAUUGCUAUGUCAUCAACAAUUUAUAAUCCAUUCCUUUACGCUUGGAUGAAUGAAAAUUUUAAAAAGGAAUUCAAGCAAGUAGUACCCGGUUUAUUUUAUAUUUUUGGCCAAAGUUCCAGAGCCGGAAAUGCUGCAACUGCUUCCCAGUAUACAACUGUUGAGACUACAGUAGUUGCCGCCAGAAAUGGAAAUUUAAAACCAAAUGAAAAUGACGCUGCCUUUGACUCUCAGACGGAAACUGUUGCUUUGAACGUGAGACCGAAAGAAGAUGAGGAUUGAAUGAGCUUUUUGCUUAUAUAUAUUUUUCAUAAUAGAGGAGUUAAAGUAUGUAUGGUUUAAUACGGUGUCGAAGAAAUAACAAAGGCUUACUUUAUCCUGAAAAGAGAGAAGAAGGGGAAGGGUAAAUAAACGGCAUUUUGAAUUUAAAUAGACAGAAUUCUUUAUUUCCCCUUGAAUUGAAAACAAAACAAUCAAAGAAAAAUAAAUAUAAAUAAAUAAACAAUGAACUAUUGCGUCAACAAAAGUUAACAGCAACGGAAAAGUGUUAUUAAUGCUACAACUUCUACAACAACAUCUACUAUUAUUUCUACUAUUUCUACCAUAGCUAAAAAAGACAUGAAUAUCAGAAACCC
rnacentral:misc_RNA from 1 species